rnacentral:rRNA from 1 species
CCUACGGGAGGCUGCAGUAAGGAAUAUUGGUCAAUGGAGGAAACUCUGAACCAGCCAUCCCGCGUGAAGGAUGAAGGGGCUCUGCCUUGUAAACUUCUUUUGUCUGGGGCGAAAAAGCUCGAUUUAUCGAGAACUGACGGUACCAGAAGAAUAAGCACCGGCUAACUCCGUGCCAGCAGCCGCGGUAAUACGGAGGGUGCAGGCGUUACCCGGUUUAAAUGGGGCUAAGGGGUGCGUGGAAGGCUGUGGUGAAAGGCUGUGGCUUAACCAUGGAAUUGCCAUUGAUACUGCAGAGCUUGAAUGAGGUUGAGGUUGGCGGAAUGUGAAAUGUAGCGGUGAAAUGCUUAGAUAUGUCAUGGAACACCGAUUGCGAAGGCAGCUGACUGGACCUAUAUUGACGCUGAGGCACGAAAGCGUGGGGAGCGAACAGGAUUAGAUACCUGAGUAGUC